UCAUAUAAAACGUCGAUAAGUGCUCGAAGAACUCGAGAUAAUAGGGAAAUUGGUGAAAGUCCAAUACAGCCCCCGCUACUGUAAUAGCUGAUGAAAUCGCAAUGCCACCUGUGCAAACUAGGGAAGGUGCGACAGUAAAAUGAAGCUUAAGUCAGGAAACCUGCUUAUCAGAUUGUGCAUGCA
rnacentral:ncRNA from 15 species